AUCCUUGUCUACCUGAGGCCUUUUAAGGGUGUGUGAAACUUAAAGGCAGUUGUAUCUUGUAAGCUCCUGGAGAUACUGUCAGCUUUGUUGGGCAGCACCACGCACCAAUAGAACUUCCAGAUGGACCAAUUUACAUCACCAGAAAGGUGAUGCUGGUAUGGAAAAGCAAUUGGAGAGUACUGUAAGGCUUACUUGUCAAAUGGAGCUGUCUUCUGUACACUGGCUAGCAGUGUCACAUGUAGUCUUUUGGAGUGGUGAGCUUUCUGCUUUGUUGUCUGGGCCAAGUCGCAUUCUUGGAGAAGACUGUGCCUGUUCAAAAGACUUCAUGCAUAGCAGUGACUGAAAAUAUGAAGUGCCUGAACAACACUUGCUUUUGAUGCUAUAAGCCAUGUAUAGGAGCCAGACCUUUUGAAUUGUCUGCCAUUUACUGUAAUGGUCUCUUUAUCAGACAUGCCUGUCCAAAUUCCUUGAGACUAUCUGGAGUCCAGCUGCUGAGGAAGGCAGGGAAAUUCAAGUUUACUCAUCCAAACCUCUUUAACUACAGCAAUUGUGGUACAGCUCUUUUUGGAAAGACAAGAGGUGGAAGAAUAGCUAAAAACACUUAAUUCCUCACAGCUCCACAGGCCUGUGGAAAAUUUCAGCCUUGGGUUUGAGGAAAGAAAACAAGCCUGAACUCUCUUCCCCAUCACCAGUAGAAAAAAAGCUUUGGUGUAAUUCAAAGACUUUGCUGUUGUUUUGCCAACAGAUUGGAAAGGCCAGGUUGGAUUGCAAUUUCCCAUAAAAAUGGGAUUGUCUGUCUAUAAAUCUAUUUGUGGCUAUUUCUGAACUUCCCUUGACAAAAGCUGGGAAAAGUGAUCUAUAAAUCAUCAUGUUACAAAUGUCUUGUGUUUUCCCAGUUGGUUUUAGGAACAGAAGAGGUAUAUUUGUUUCUUCAUUUCCCCACACUUAUCCUUAAAAUGCAGCUUUGGUUUUAUCUUUGUUAAACAGAAAUGACCUUUCUGUCAGUAGUUAGGCUGAUAAUGUUGUGCAAGCCUUUGGUGAGGACUGUGCACAGUGUGGAUUGUGUUGGAUGCAGGCAGAUCCGUCCUUUCAAAACAUGAACAGAAACAUAACUGCACAUUUAUGUGGCACCAAAUAAAAUUGAGUAAGUGAGCUUACUUUUACCUGCACUGCCUGUUGCAGCACUGAUUGAUCGCUCCUGGUUGGGGGGCUCAGGGCUGGGGUUUCAGGAGAGCAAGGCAGGACUGGUGUUUGCCUCCCUUUCCAGCUGUUCUUCCC